AGCAUCUAGUUUUAUACGUGGAAAAGGAAUUCGAAAGGAUAGGCACAUGCAGCUGCUUCUUGCCACAGACUAUAUUAUGAAAUGCUCAAAUAAUUGGGAAUUUUUUCACGUUUCCUUACCUAUUUCCUUCAUAAAGCAGACCAACAAUCAUCGUCCUCAAACUUAACAAUUUACUCAUCACAGUAAAACAUGCUGGGAGAACUGCCAAGCUAUUUGGUACCCUGGGCAAUGGGGGCAGGCCCCGAGGCAAACAUCUUCAUCACGAACACGUGCAGGGCAUUCAGCAGGUGGGCAGAAAGCCAGGCAGUCUGCUAUCCCAGAACAUUCUCUUCUUCAGAAAAGACAAAGUUGUGCUGUCAAAGCUAAGACCGUUCCUUAUCAGAAAAAUUCUAAGCGUCUGUUUGAAAUUUAUACGUGAA
rnacentral:lncRNA from 1 species